rnacentral:rRNA from 2 species
AUAUUUUGAACCGCAUGGUUCAAAAGUGAAAGACGGUCUUGCUGUCACUUAUAGAUGGAUCCGCGCUGCAUUAGCUAGUUGGUAAGGUAACGGCUUACCAAGGCAACGAUGCAUAGCCGACCUGAGAGGGUGAUCGGCCACACUGGAACUGAGACACGGUCCAGACUCCUACGGGAGGCAGCAGUAGGGAAUCUUCCGCAAUGGGCGAAAGCCUGACGGAGCAACGCCGCGUGAGUGAUGAAGGUCUUCGGAUCGUAAAACUCUGUUAUUAGGGAAGAACAUAUGUGUAAGUAACUGUGCACAUCUUGACGGUACCUAAUCAGAAAGCCACGGCUAACUACGUGCCAGCAGCCGCGGUAAUACGUAGGUGGCAAGCGUUAUCCGGAAUUAUUGGGCGUAAAGCGCGCGUAGGCGGUUUUUUAAGUCUGAUGUGAAAGCCCACGGCUCAACCGUGGAGGGUCAUUGGAAACUGGAAAACUUGAGUGCAGAAGAGGAAAGUGGAAUUCCAUGUGUAGCGGUGAAAUGCGCAGAGAUAUGGAGGAACACCAGUGGCGAAGGCGACUUUCUGGUCUGUAACUGACGCUGAUGUGCGAAAGCGUGGGGAUCAAACAGGAUUAGAUACCCUGGUAGUCCACGCCGUAAACGAUGAGUGCUAAGUGUUAGGGGGUUUCCGCCCCUUAGUGCUGCAGCUAACGCAUUAAGCACUCCGCCUGGGGAGUACGACCGCAAGGUUGAAACUCAAAGGAAUUGACGGGGACCCGCACAAGCGGUGGAGCAUGUGGUUUAAUUCGAAGCAACGCGAAGAACCUUACCAAAUCUUGACAUCCUUUGACAACUCUAGAGAUAGAGCCUUCCCCUUCGGGGGACAAAGUGACAGGUGGUGCAUGGUUGUCGUCAGCUCGUGUCGUGAGAUGUUGGGUUAAGUCCCGCAACGAGCGCAACCCUUAAGCUUAGUUGCCAUCAUUAAGUUGGGCACUCUAAGUUGACUGCCGGUGACAAACCGGAGGAAGGUGGGGAUGACGUCAAAUCAUCAUGCCCCUUAUGAUUUGGGCUACACACGUGCUACAAUGGACAAUACAAAGGGCAGCGAAACCGCGAGGUCAAGCAAAUCCCAUAAAGUUGUUCUCAGUUCGGAUUGUAGUCUGCAACUCGACUACAUGAAGCUGGAAUCGCUAGUAAUCGUAGAUCAGCAUGCUACGGUGAAUACGUUCCCGGGUCUUGUACACACCGCCCGUCACACCACGAGAGUUUGUAACACCCGAAGCCGGUGGAGUAACCUUUUAGGAGCUAGCCGUCGAAGGUGGGACAAAUGAUUGGGGUGAAGUCGUAACAAGGUAGCCGUAUCGGAAGGUGCGGCUG